CGCAAAUGGGAUGAGAAAAUUGAAAUGAUAUGAAAUAAUGGAUAUACAAUAUAAUUUGGGGGAGAAAUGAUCUUGAAAGUUUCAUACUUUUAGUUCAACAUCAUGAAAACCAGGACAAAAAAUAGUUACCCAAAUCUGUAUUUAUUGACCACCAAAAGCCAUACAGCUAUUCAGUGGAGAAAUAUGAACCUAACUGCCUGUGACAUAGCUUGUGAUAAGCUCCUGUGAUACUCUAUGCAUCUGCUUAUAUUAUCAUUAAUAUGGGAACAAUUGAAGGAUCUAUCUUAAGUAUUGUUUGAGAACACAGACUUUUGCCAACUCAGAUUAUAUAUCUGCACAUUGGAGGGGUGGUUAUUUCAAUAUGUUACAACAACCACAUUUUCCACCUUCGCAACUGAUUGCUGAAAAUUUUCAUUUUGUUGGAGCUUCAAACAAUUUCAGCCCACCAUCGCUAGCACCUGCACCAUAUGCCAAUGAAAGGGUCAGCAUUGACAUUGAUGGACGAUGAACCCUCAGAAACAUGUGUUCCACUACUAGUACCAGGAGCAUCUGUGCAAGGAUAUCAAUUGGGAGGCUUGCGCUUUUGAUCAGUUAUUUUGGAAGGCUGCAAUGUAGUGGAAACUUACGUACUAUUUUGUCAAUUAUGUUAAAGGCUGCAAUGUAGUGGAAACUUAUGUAUUAUUUUCUCAGUUAUUUUGAUGUGAAACUGCUCCAUUAGGAAUGUGAACUGCUUCUUUCUUAUGUGAAUGUGAACUGCUGCUCCUUUCAUAUAAUCCUUUUCAUAUA